rnacentral:misc_RNA from 1 species
UUUCCGUAGGUGAACCUGCGGAGGGAUCAUUAAAGUUAUAGUCCCCCGGCCCCUCCGGGCUGGGGUCUUCUAUACCACCCUUUGUUUAUUACACCUUUGUUGCUUUGGCAGGCCUGCCCUCGAGCUGCUGGCUCCGGCCGGCUCGUGCCUGCCAGAGGACCUAAACUCUGUUUGUGUAUGAAGUCUGAGUACUAUAGAAUAGUUAAAACUUUCAACAACGGAUCUCUUGGUUCUG